GACGAACGCUGGCGGCGUGCUUAACACAUGCAAGUCGAACGGAAAGGCCCUGCUUUUGUGGGGUGCUCGAGUGGCGAACGGGUGAGUAACACGUGAGUAACCUGCCCUUGACUUUGGGAUAACUUCAGGAAACUGGGGCUAAUAUCGGAUAGGAUCUCCUGCUGCAUGGUGGGGGUUGGAAAGUUUCGGCGGUUGGGGCUGGACUCGCGGCUUAUCAGCUUGUUGGUGGGGUAGUGGCUUACCAAGGCUUUGACGGGUAGCCGGCCUGAGAGGGUGACCGGCCACAUUGGGACUGAGAUACGGACCAGAAUCCUACGGGAGGCAGCAGUGGGGAAUAUUGCACAAUGGGCGGGAGCCUGAUGCAGCAACGCCGCGUGCGGGAUGACGGCCUUCGGGUUGUAAACCGCUUUCGCCUGUGACGAAGCGUGAGUGACGGUAAUGGGUAAAGAAGCACCGGCUAACUACGUG
rnacentral:rRNA from 1 species